CGAAUGCUGACAUAAGUAACGAUAAAGCGGGUGAAAAGCCCGCUCGCCGGAAGACCAAGGGUUCCUGUCCAACGUUAAUCGGGGCAGGGUGAGUCGACCCCUAAGGCGAGGCCGAAAGGCGUAGUCGAUGGGAAACAGGUUAAUAUUCCUGUACUUGGUGUUACUGCGAAGGGGGGACGGAGAAGGCUAUGUUGGCCGGGCGACGGUUGUCCCGGUUUAAGCGUGUAGGCUGGUUUUCCAGGCAAAUCCGGAAAAUCAAGGCUGAGGCGUGAUGACGAGGCACUACGGUGCUGAAGCAACAAAUGCCCUGCUUCCAGGAAAAGCCUCUAAGCAUCAGGUAACAUCAAAUCGUACCCCAAACCGACACAGGUGGUCAGGUAGAGAAUACCAAGGCGCUUGAGAGAACUCGGGUGAAGGAACUAGGCAAAAUGGUGCCGUAACUUCGGGAGAAGGCACGCUGAUAUGUAGGUGAAGUCCCUCGCGGAUGGAGCUGAAAUCAGUCGAAGAUACCAGCUGGCUGCAACUGUUUAUUAAAAACACAGCACUGUGCAAACACGAAAGUGGACGUAUACGGUGUGACGCCUGCCCGGUGCCGGAAGGUUAAUUGAUGGGGUCAGCGCAAGCGAAGCUCUUGAUCGAAGCCCCGGUAAACGGCGGCCGUAACUAUAACGGUCCUAAGGUAGCGAAAUUCCUUGUCGGGUAAGUUCCGACCUGCACGAAUGGCGUAAUGAUGGCCAGGCUGUCUCCACCCGAGACUCAGUGAAAUUGAACUCGCUGUGAAGAUGCAGUGUACCCGCGGCAAGACGGAAAGACCCCGUGAACCUUUACUAUAGCUUGACACUGAACAUUGAGCCUUGAUGUGUAGGAUAGGUGGGAGGCUUUGAAGUGUGGACGCCAGUCUGCAUGGAGCCGACCUUGAAAUACCACCCUUUAAUGUUUGAUGUUCUAACGUUGACCCGUAAUCCGGGUUGCGGACAGUGUCUGGUGGGUAGUUUGACUGGGGCGGUCUCCUCCUAAAGAGUAACGGAGGAGCACGAAGGUUGGCUAAUCCUGGUCGGACAUCAGGAGGUUAGUGCAAUGGCAUAAGCCAGCUUGACUGCGAGCGUGACGGCGCGAGCAGGUGCGAAAGCAGGUCAUAGUGAUCCGGUGGUUCUGAAUGGAAGGGCCAUCGCUCAACGGAUAAAAGGUACUCCGGGGAUAACAGGCUGAUACCGCCCAAGAGUUCAUAUCGACGGCGGUGUUUGGCACCUCGAUGUCGGCUCAUCACAUCCUGGGGCUGAAGUAGGUCCCAAGGGUAUGGCUGUUCGCCAUUUAAAGUGGUACGCGAGCUGGGUUUAGAACGUCGUGAGACAGUUCGGUCCCUAUCUGCCGUGGGCGCUGGAGAACUGAGGGGGGCUGCUCCUAGUACGAGAGGACCGGAGUGGACGCAUCACUGGUGUUCGGGUUGUCAUGCCAAUGGCACUGCCCGGUAGCUAAAUGCGGAAGAGAUAAGUGCUGAAAGCAUCUAAGCACGAAACUUGCCCCGAGAUGAGUUCUCCCUGACUCCUUGAGAGUCCUGAAGGAACGUUGAAGACGACGACGUUGAUAGGCCGGGUGUGUAAGCGCAGCGAUGCGUUGAGCUAACCGGUACUAAUGAACCGUGAG
rnacentral:rRNA from 1 species